rnacentral:piRNA from 1 species
GCCAGAACUGUAGUUGCCACAGA